UCCGAUGUGGAUGAGACCGGUGGA
rnacentral:siRNA from 1 species